rnacentral:rRNA from 1 species
CCUACGGGGGGCAGCAGUAGGGAAUUUUGCGCAAUGGGCGAAAGCCUGACGCAGCAACGCCGCGUGAUCGAGACGCCCUUCGGGGUGUAAAGAUCUGUCAGUGGGGACGAAACUUGACGGUACCCACAGAGGAAGCACCGGCUAACUCCGUGCCAGCAGCCGCGGUAAUACGGAGGGUGCAAGCGUUGCUCGGAAUCAGUGGGCGUAAAGGGUGCGUAGGGGGGGGAAUAAGUCAGGUGUGAAAUCCUGUGGCUUAACUACGGGACUGCAUUUGAAACUGGGUAUCUGGAGGGUGGGAGAGGAAAGUGGAAUUCUUGGUGUAGGGGUAAAAUCCGUAGAGAUCAGGAGGAAUACUAGUGGCGAAGGCGACCUGCUGGAACGUUACUGACGCUGAGGCGCGAAAGCGUGGGGAGCGAACGGGAUUAGAUACCCGUGUAGUC